rnacentral:rRNA from 1 species
UACUUAGGGUGCAGGCGUUAAUCGGAAUUACUGGGCGUAAAGCGUGCGCAGGCGGUUUCUUAAGUCAGAUGUGAAAGCCCCGGGCUUAACCUGGGAACUGCGUUUGAAACUGGGAGACUCGAGUGUGGCAGAGGGGGGUGGAAUUCCACGUGUAGCAGUGAAAUGCGUAGAUAUGUGGAGGAACACCGAUGGCGAAGGCAGCCCCCUGGGUCAACACUGACGCUCAUGCACGAAAGCGUGGGGAGCAAACAGG